rnacentral:rRNA from 1 species
UACGUAGGGGGCUAGCGUUGUCCGGAAUCAUUGGGCGUAAAGCGCGUGUAGGCGGUCCGGUAAGUCCGCUGUGAAAGUCGGGGGCUCAACCCUCGGAUGCCGGUGGAUACUGUCGGGCUUGAGUACGGAAGAGGAGAGUGGAAUUCCUGGUGUAGCGGUGAAAUGCGCAGAUAUCAGGAAGAACACCAAUGGCGAAGGCAGCUCUCUGGGACGGUACUGACGCUGAGACGCGAAAGCGUGGGGAGCAAACAGG